UUAUUGGAGAGUUUGAUCCUGGCUCAGGACGAACGCUGGCGGCGUGCCUAAUACAUGCAAGUCGAGCGGGGUUCGUUAGAAGCUUGCUUCUAAUGAACCUAGCGGCGGACGGGUGAGUAACACGUAGGCAACCUGCCCACAAGACAGGGAUAACUACCGGAAACGGUAGCUAAUACCCGAUACAUCCUUUUCCUGCAUGGGAGAAGGAGGAAAGACGGAGCAAUCUGUCACUUGUGGAUGGGCCUGCGGCGCAUUAGCUAGUUGGUGGGGUAAAGGCCUACCAAGGCGACGAUGCGUAGC
rnacentral:rRNA from 1 species